AUUGAACGCUGGCGGCAGGCUUAACACAUGCAAGUCGAGCGGAUGAAGGGAGCUUGCUCCUGGAUUCAGCGGCGGACGGGUGAGUAAUGCUUAGGAAUCUGCCUAUUAGUGGGGGACAACAGUUGGAAACGGCUGCUAAUACCGCAUACGCCCUACGGGGGAAAGGAGGGGAUCUUCGGACCUUUCGCUAAUAGAUGAGCCUAAGUCAGAUUAGCUAGUUGGUGGGGUAAAGGCCUACCAAGGCGACGAUCUGUAGCGGGUCUGAGAGGAUGAUCCGCCACACUGGGACUGAGACACGGCCCAGACUCCUACGGGAGGCAGCAGUGGGGAAUAUUGGACAAUGGGGGGAACCCUGAUCCAGCCAUGCCGCGUGUGUGAAGAAGGCCUUUUGGUUGUAAAGCACUUUAAGCGAGGAGGAGGCGCCCUAGAUUAAUACUCUAGGAGCGUGGACGUUACUCGCAGAAUAAGCACCGGCUAACUCUGUGCCAGCAGCCGCAGUAAAAC
rnacentral:rRNA from 1 species